rnacentral:rRNA from 1 species
AUUGAACGCUGGCGGCAGGCCUAACACAUGCAAGUCGAGCGGAUGAAGGGAGCUUGCUCCUGGAUUCAGCGGCGGACGGGUGAGUAAUGCCUAGGAAUCUGCCUGGCUGUGGGGGAUGACGUCUUGAAACGGGCGCUAAUACCGCAUACGACCUGAGGGUGAGAGUGGGGGAUCUUUGGACCUCACGCUAGCAGGUGAGUCUAGGUCGGAUUAGCUAGUUGGUGGGGUGAAGGCCUACCUAGCCGACGAUCCGUAACUGGUCUGAGAGGAUGAUUAGUCACACUGGAGCUGGGACAGCGUCCAGACUCCUACGGGAGGCAGCAGUGGGGAAUAGUAGGCAAUGGGCGGAAGCCUGAUCCAGCCAUGCCGUGUGUGUGAAGAAGGUCUUCGGAUUGUGAAGCCCUUUAAGUUGGGAGGAAGGGCAGUAAGUUAAUACCUUGCUGUUUUGACGUUACCGACAGAAUAAGCACCGGCUAACUACGUG